rnacentral:ncRNA from 1 species
GAUUUUUGCGGAGAUGGCAUUCCUCCCUAACUGCCGCUAGCAAGCUUUGCGGCUAAUGAUGCCUACAGGGUC